rnacentral:rRNA from 1 species
CGAACCCGGCAGUUAAGCCCGCCAGCGCCGAUGGUACUGGGGGGGCAGCCCCCUGGGAGAGUAGGUCGUUGCCAGGG